rnacentral:rRNA from 1 species
GUCUUUAUGAUAAAAUUUAAAGUCCAAUCUGCUCACUGAAUAUUUAAAGAGCCGCAGUAUAUUGACUGUGCAAAGGUAGCAUAAUCAUUAGUUUUUUAAUUGAAAACUCGUAUGAAAGAUUAGACAAGAAAUUUAUUUUCUUUAUUUUAAUAAAUUGAAUUUUAAUUAUAAGUGAAAAUGCUUAUUUAAAUUUAAAAGACGAGAAGACCCUAUAGAUUUUUAUUGUUGGAAUAAAUUUUAAAUAAUAAUUUAAUAAAACAAUUUAAUUGGGGCGAUUUUGUAAUAUAAUAAACUUAAUAUUUUAUAACCAUAAAUUAUUGAAUUUUUUUGAUCUAAAACUUUUAAAGAAAGAUUAAAUUACCUUAGGGAUAACAGCGUAAUUUUAUUUAAGAGUUCAUAUCUAUAAUAAAGUUUGCGACCUCGAUGUUGAAUUAAGAUAAUAUAUUGGAGUAGAAAUUAAUAUAAUUAGUCUGUUCGACUAUUAAAUUCU